GGGGGGGCAAGCUUUUAUUAAUCAGUAUGGGUUUAGUCUUAAAAUAGUUCUGAAAUCAAAGUAGCUAACAUAAAGGAUAAUAGAAAGAGGAACAACUCCUUUUAUAGCAGUACGAAGUCAACUCUCCCUGGUUAUGCUUUCAGCCACAAAGAAAGGUUAAAUGCUCUUCAGGGGAAAAUGGCUACUCAAAUAUCAGGGGAAAGAGCCAAUGACCAAAGAGCUUCCAUUUAUUGAAGGCUUGCUAUGUACCAAGCAUUUUAAAUGUAUUACCUUUAAAACCUAGGUAUCCCUGUAAAAUAAGUAGUAGUGAUCCCAUUUUAUAGAUAAACAAAGAAAGUCUCAGACAAGCUUAUAAACUUCCCCAUGCUUAAUAGCUUGGAGGUUGCGGAGCCAAGAUUUCAAUCCAUGUAUACCUGGCUCCAGGCCCAUGCAUUUUCCUCUAUACCCCCCGUCUUGGUCCAUUCAGGCUGUUAUAACAAAAUGCCACAGAUGGGUAGGUUAGACACUACAUAUUUACUGCUCAUAGUUUUGGAGGCUAGAAGUCAAAGAUCAGGGUGCCAGUAUGUCUAGGUUAGGGUCACAGACUUCUCAUUGUAUCCUCACAUGGUGGAAACUCUCUGGAGCCACUCUUAGGAGGUACUAGUCCUACUCAUGGGGUGGAACCCUCUUGACUAACUCUCCCAAAGUCCUCACCUAUUAAUGUUAUCACCUUUGAUGAUUAGAAUUCCAACACACCAAUGGGGUGGGGGGUGGGACACAAACAUUCAGACUACCAUAGUACUCACUAAGCUUCCAAGGGCUCAGACUUGCAGCCUCUACAUGACCAUAUAAAACCCAAAAGCAAUGGCCAAACUAAAGAAUACAGCAGUUAGUGAAGCGUCCCCUUUGUCUGAUCAAGGAAGCUUCCCAGGUCUCUUCUAUCCUCUGUUCACAGCCAAGCUUCUCCCCCCCAGAACAGUACUUUACCAAAAAUAACUCCAUGACAGGCUAAAAUUGAAAAAGGAGCACAGAUAAAAUGUGGCAAGUUGCCCAAAGGGAUUUCCUUCUGGACUCUCAGUCUCCAAGGCAGUGGAUUUGCCUUUAGGUAAAAUACAGACAUGUAAAGUUAAGAAAAAGGGGGAUUUGGGGUGGGAGGCCUGCUUUGCUAUACCAAAUAGGCCCAAGGUAAGCCUCUCUAAGUCAACCAAAAAGUCUCAAUUCUCUUGAAAAUCUGUAUAAGAGAAAAUGAUAAUGCCUUCAAGGCCAUCAGAACAGUCUAUAACCCUGGCCAGAACACACUGCCUUACGAGCUCAUUCACUCAUUUGUGCCUUCUUUCAGCAGACGGUUCCUGAAUGCCCACUAUGUGAAAGGCAUCAGGUAGACACCGAGGAUAAGGAAGGAAAUAAUUUGCAACUCCUUUCCCCAGAGAGUUCAUUCCAGUAAGGAAGACAGACAAGCAAAUGCACAGUUCAAUAUAGCUGGAUAAAAUGGGAAAAGAGGGAUCUUGGAGGAACAGUUGGACAAAGAAGCAAACAAGCAUCACUGUGGGGGGAGAUGGAUUUCUCAAGCUGGGUUUUAAAUACUAUGCAGGUAUCUGUUGGAGAUGUGAGAAGCAGGAGGAUAUCCCAGGAGGAGAGAAUAGGGUAUGCAAAGGUAUGGAAAUCAGAAACCGGGUUGAUAUCAGGGUGAAAAUGACUCACCAGUGCAAAGGUUUGGGAGGGGACAGGGAGAAGGUCAUAGUGCUCUUCUAUCCAUUUCCAUGUCACCUAGGGCUGCCCUGAUGAAAAAGAAAUUCUUACCAGGCCACAGAGGGACAUGCUGUAGUCCCCAGUCUGCGGGGUAGACCUCCAUCAUCCCUGUAUUCCUCACCAUGUAUAUGGACUGACUGAAUCUCGGGCAGGCAUCUGCCUAAAGACUUCACCACAGUCUCAUCAGAGAGAAAAUGAGAGAAGUGUCAGGGUGAAUCUGAAUCCCAAACAAAGCCACUAGGAGUGGGAGGGAGAAAUGGGGACUGGAGAAGUAGGUGAAUGCUAUCACCUACUGCCACAUCUUGCACAGUUCUUGGCUCUUUUAAGCACCAUCUGCAUAGCUUAGGAACCUGUAGGAAAUAUUUGCCUCUCUCUUCUCAAUUGUAAAGUGGGGAGAAUGAUGCUUAUUGCACAUUAAAAUGACACAAGACUGAUCAUGUUCAUGCCUGUUGCAGUGUCUGACACAAAUCAUUUCCUUGGUAUACACGUUAGUCCUCAUUCCCUUCUCCUUAAUUAAACCACCAUUCACAAUGGCCAUGCAAGACAAUAUUGCCAAUUUCUCCUAUUGUUCUUGUUUUUUUUAGAUUUUAUUUAUUUUUUUAAAGAUUUUGUUUUUUUAUUUGAGAGUGUGUGAAUGAGAGAGAGUGCACAAGCAGGGGGAGGGGCAGAGGGAAAGGGAGAAGCAGACUCCCCACUAAGGAAGGAGCCCAAUGUGGGGCUCAAUCCUAGGACCCUGGAAUCAUGGCCUGAGCCAAAGCAGACUCUUAACCAACUGAGCCACCCAGGUGCCCCUAUUUGUUUAUUUUUAAGAGAGAGUGAUAAAGUAUGCAAGCAUGGGGGGAGAAUCAGAGGGGG
rnacentral:lncRNA from 1 species